UACGUAGGGUGCGAGCGUUAAUCGGAAUUACUGGGCGUAAAGCGUGCGCAGGCGGUUUUGUAAGCCAGAUGUGAAAUCCCCGGGCUUAACCUGGGAAUGGCAUUUGGGACUGUAAGGCUGGAGUAUGGCAGAGGAGACUAGAAUUCCUGGUGUAGCAGUGAAAUGCGUAGAUAUCAGGAGGAAUACCGAUGGCGAAGGCAGGUCUCUGGGCCAAUACUGACGCUCAUGCACGAAAGCGUGGGGAGCAAACAGG
rnacentral:rRNA from 1 species